UGGGAACGUGCCCUUCGGUUCGGAAUAACUCGGGGAGACUCGAGCUAAUACCGAAUACGCCCUUACGGGGAAAGAUUUAUCGCCGAUGGAGCGGCCCGCGUCUGAUUAGCUAGUUGGUGGGGUAACGGCCUACCAAGGCAUCGACGGGUAGCUGGUCUGAGAGGACGACCAGCCACACUGGGACUGAGACACGGCCCAGACUCCUACGGGAGGCAG
rnacentral:rRNA from 1 species